rnacentral:siRNA from 1 species
UUUCUACCAUCUGGAAUA